rnacentral:rRNA from 1 species
UACGUAGGGGGCAAGCGUUGUCCGGAAUCAUUGGGCGUAAAGAGCGUGUAGGCGGUUCGGUAGGUCCGCUGUGAAAACUCGAGGCUCAACCUCGAGAUGUCGGCGGAAACCACUUGGCUAGAGUCCGGAAGAGGAGAGUGGAAGUUCCUGGUGUAGCGGUGGAAAUGCGCAGAUAUCAGGAGGAACACCGGUGGCGAAGGCGGGUCUCUGGGCCUUGCCUGACGCUGAGGCGCGAAAGCUAGGGAGCGAACAGG